AUUAGGAAAAGGGAGCUUUUCAGCUCACUUGUUUUCCCACCAUUCCAACGCGCACCGUAUCACUAAACUACUGCAAGAAGGAGAAACGCUCAUUGCGCAACACGGCGUCGUCGCAACCAAACGGAUAAUGAUGAAUGAUCUUCCCUCUCUCACCCAGCAAGCUGGCAGCUCACUCUCUGCAGCUUCUGGCAAUACCGUUGCACAAUUCUCAGACCUGCAACAUUUCCAAACAAAUUGAUUCGAUGUAUUUUGUCAUUUUGUUUUCUAUCCAUUGUAUAAAACUCGAGCUCAAAUCAAUGAAUGAAUUGCGGAAUAAAAUUCCUUUAAUCUCAAUCCAUAAUAUGGUACCAGAGCCUUGAGCUCGACAACAAUGGCAGACCAAAUCGUCGUCAAUGGCGACUAUCCUUUAUCAGACCCAUACUACCUCCAUGGUAGCGAGCAACCAGGACAGUCACUGGUCACUGAGAAGCUAACCUCGUCCAACUACACAGACUGGAGCAUAUCCAUGAAGAAUGCACUAAGUGCAAAGAAUAAAAUGGGGUUCAUCACUAGAGAAAUUGAAGAACCUGAAGCCAACAAUGCAAUGUUCUGGACAUGGACCAGAUGCAACAUCAUGGUUUUGAGCUGGAUUCAACAAUCAGUCGAAGUAGGUAUUCGAAAGACUAUACUUGGUUUUAAAAAUGCAGUAGAAGCAUGGGAAAGUUUAAAGAGUAGAUAUGGCCAGGGAGAUGUUAUACGCAUAGCUGAGAUUCAGGAAGAACUUUCCAAUCUCAAGCAAGGAAAUCAGUCCAUAACUGAGUAUCAUGGCUCCAUAAUCACACUUAGAGAUGAAUUAAGGAAUUACCAACCUCUUGUAUCCUGUGAUUGCACUGCUGUGAGCCACUUGGAUUGCAGGGCCAUCAAACUGAUAGAAGAAUAUGAAGAAACAAAUGCAGUAAUACAUUUCUUGCGUGGAUUGAAUAAAAACUUUGUUGGACCAAGGACUCAAGUUCUCUUUGGAGACAGGUUACCUAGUUUGGAAAGGGUUGUUCAACGCAUGGUGCAGCAUGAACGUCAGCUGUUUGGUACACAAGGAAAAGGGAGUUCAGAAGGGUUAGCAAUGGCUGCCCAAAGACAAGACACAAGGCCUAAGCUCUAUUGCACCUUUUGCAAAAUGACCAACCACACUGAGGAUAGAUGCUUCUUCAAAAAUGGCUUCCCACCAGGAAUGGAACCAAGACCUCAGCCUGGCUCUUCAAACUUUAAACCAAGAAACUCAAAUUCAAAAUUCAGGCCUCGAGCCAAUGCAAUUCGAAGCGCUGAAGGCGCUGGUGUGCAUAUGACACAGGAUCAGUUCAACAAACUGAUGAGCAUGAUGCAACUCAAGAACAAGGGAGCAGAUGACUCUGUGACAUCCACAGGUGCUCAUUCUGUAGUUGCUUUCACUCAACACCCCUCAGGCAAGUCUACUGAGAUUUUAAGUAUGCAGACCCUAGAGUCAAAGGACCAUGAAAGAUGGAUCCUUGACACAGGAGCAUCUGAUCAUGUCACAUGCAUAUUAAGCAAUUUCAGUACCUUUAAUGAGGUUGAAAACGUGAUUAUCAACCUACCAACUGGCCAUCAGGUUCAUGCUACUCACAUUGGUUCAGUGAAAAUCUCACCUCAGCUUACAUUGCAUGACGUUUUAUAUGUGCCAGAUUUCAAUUUCAACUUGAUCUCAGUUAGUAAGCUUGCUGAGAAUCAAGCCUUAUGCCUCACCUUUGCUUCUGAUUCUUGUUUGAUACAAGACAAGCACAGGAAGACUACGAUUGGUUCUGCUAAGGUGCAUCAAGGACUCUAUCACAUGUCUCCUGCCAUCCUAGUUAGUCAAGCUACCUCUACUACUUCCCCUGCUAAUGUUUUUGAUUUGUGGCAUCAUCGCUUAGGCCAUGUCUCACAUACUAGGAUACCCUACCUGCAUACCCUUGAUCCAGCCAUCCACACUCUUCCUAACCUGCCCUGUGAUGUCUGUCACUAUGCCAAGCAGCAUAGAUUAGCCUUCCCCCCUAGCUCCUCUACUACAUCACAGCCUUUUGAUAUGUUACAUGUUGACAUAUGGGGGCCAACGGCACAACCCUCUUAUGAUGGCCAUCGCUAUUUUCUCACUAUUGUAGACGAUUACAGUCGAAAUACUUGGAUUCAGCUAAUGAAGUUAAAGUCAGAAACUCAUCCUCUUUUGCAGCACUUUUGCAUUUUUGUUAAUACUCACUAUAAAGCCCAUGUUAGAACCAUCCGUAGUGAUCAAGGCAAAGAGUUUGACAUGCCUGCCUUUUAUCAUGAAAAGGGAGUUCUCCAUCAAACCACUUGUGUUGAAACCCCCCAGCAAAAUAGCAAAGUCGAACGCAAACACUAGCACAUUCUCAAUGUUGCUAGAGCACUCACUUUCCAAGCAAAACUUCCUAUAGGAUUUUGGGGAGAUUGUGUCAAACAUGUUGUAUACCUGAUUAAUCGCACACCUACUGCCGUCCUUAACAACAAAACGCCCUAUGAAAAACUAAACAACAAACCCCCUUCCUUAGCCAACAUUCGUGUCUUUGGGAGCCUCUGCUAUGCAUCUACCCUGGCUGGUCAUAGGACUAAGUUUGAAAAGCGAGCUAGAAAAAGCCUGCAUCUAGGAUUCACAGAAGGGAUCAAAGGAUACAGGCUAUAUAAUUUGCAUACACAUCGGGUUUUCACUUCAAGGGAUGUGAUUUUCUAUGAAAGCGUUUUUCCCUAUGACAAACAAAUCGAUACUACACCAGACCAGUCCACACAAGCCUUACCAUCAGUCACAGACUUUGAUUUUGACUUCAUACCAAACCAAAGUAACCCUGAAACACCUACACAGCAAGGCGAUGUUGCUCCCAGCACACCACUAGACCAAGAUCAACCAGAAACAUCAGACCAAAGCCAAUCCACCAACCAUGAUGACUCAAACCAAGAUAUUGAGCAAAAUCCACCUCCAUAACAGGUUGAAACCCUUAGGAGAACCACCAGACACCACAAGCCACCAAACUACCUGCAGGAUUUCCAUUGUGACCUCCUAAUGCAGAGCAACAGAACCAAUCAAGUCUCCACUGCAAGUCCUGAGAUUGCAAAGAAUUCAGUAAGUCACCCUCUCUCACGCAUACUUGAUUAUGGCUUGCUCCACGACACUCAUAAGAAGUUUGUUCUAAGUAUUUCCAGCAUAAAAGAACCACAGAGUUAUGCUGAGGCAAUGAAACUGGGAGUCUGGAUAGCAGCGAUGAAGGCUGAACUUGAAGCCCUAUGCCUAAAUAAAAUAUGGAGCAUUGUAUCCCUACCAAAGGGAGUAAAGGCCAUAGCAUGCAAGUGGGUGUACAGAGUGAAGUAUAAAUCUGAUGGCAGCAUUGAAAGGUACAAAGCAAGACUAGUAGCAAAGGGGUAUACACAAACUGAAUGUCUUGAUUACCAAGAGACAUUUGCGCUAGUGGUAAAGAUGACAACCAUAAGGGUCUUCCUUGCCUUGGCUUCGAUUAAGAAAUGGCAUCUCCACCAGCUAGAUAUCAACAACGCCUUCUUGCACGGAGAUUUGGAAGAAGACGUGUACAUGAAGUUGCCCUUGGGAAUGGACGAGGAAGGACUACCAAAAAAUGCAGUCUGUAAACUACACAAGUCACUUUACGGCCUGAAGCAAGCUUCGAGGCAAUGGUUUUCCAAGCUAUCAGAGAAACUGUACAUUCAAGGUUAUACUCAAAGCAAGGUGGAUUACUCCUUAUUCAUCAAACAUAAAAACGGAUCAUUCACAGCGGUUCUAGUUUAUGUGGACAAUCUAAUCAUUGGAGGCAAUGAUCUCACGGAGAUCACAGCAUUGAAAAUGUGUCUUCAUGAAGAAUUUAAAAUCAAGGACUUGGGUCACUUGAAGUUCUUUUUAGGCCUGGAAGUUGGAAGGAAUCCAGAAGGGAUACACUUGUCUCAACGAAAGUACACAUUGGAGAUUUUAGAAGAAGCUGGACUGCUUAAUGCCAAACCAGCAAACACACCAAUGAAUUACAAGCAGCAUCUCAGUGCUGAUGGUUCAAGUUCUUAUGCAGAUCCUGAGCAAUAUAGAAGAAUAGUUGGAAAGUUGAUCUACCUCACUACCACUAGAGCAGAUAUCUGCUUUUCAGCUCAACAAGUCAGCCAAUUCAUGGCGAAUCCCACAGAAGAUCAUUACAAAGCAGUAACAAGGAUUCUUAGAUAUCUAAAAGGAGCCCCUGCAUCUGGUCUCUUUUUUCCUAGCACCUCCAGCAUCCAAUUGAAAGCUUUCAGCGAUUCAGAUUGGGCAGCUUGUCCAGACAGCAGGCGCUCAAUCACAGGGUAUUCCGUUUUCCUUGGAACUUCACUUGUAUCAUGGAAAAGCAAGAAACAAAGCACAGUGUCAAGAUCUUCCUGUGAAGUAGAAUAUCGAGCUUUAGCUCACACUAGCUGCGAGUUGCAAUGGCUGUUGUACCUCCUCAAGGAUCUCCAGGUUGACCACCACAUGCCAGCUCUGAUCUACUGUGACAACCAAUCAGCCAUCCACAUUGCAACCAAUCCUAGCUUCCAUGAACGAACCAAACACAUAGAGUUGGACUGCCACCUGGUUCGUGAGAAGAUCCAAGCUAACAUCAUCAAGCUACUCCAUGUGCGCACGGACUCACAGGUAGCAGACAUUUUCACCAAGGCCUUGCGUCCUGUCCCUUUCCAUUUUCUUCUUUCCAAGCUUGGCCUGCACAACCUCUGCCCUCCAGCUUGCGGGUGGGUAUUAGGAAAAGGGAGCUUUUCAGCUCACUUGUUUUCCCGCCAUUCCAACGCGCACCGUAUCACUAAACUACUGCAAGAAGGAGAAACGCUCAUUGCGCAACACGGCGUCGUCGCAACCAAACGGAUAAUGAUGAAUGAUCUUCCCUCUCUCACCCAGCAAGCUGGCAGCUCACUCUCUGCAGCUUCUGGCAAUACCGUUGCACAAUUCUCAGACCUGCAACAUUUCCAGACAAAUUGAUUCGAUGUAUUUUGUCAUUUUGUUUUC
rnacentral:lncRNA from 1 species